AGAAAAAGUCUUAACUGAACAAAUAAUAUGUGCAUGUAUGAUCUCUCUUGAGGAAAAUAAAUCCUAACCAUGGUAGGUAAAAAGAGACAAGGAAAAGAGGAAAGUAACCUUGGUGCAUACACUCUUCACUGCAAUGCUUCAAAGUAGGGGUCUAGAGUGAGAGCUAAAGUGGUAAUAAGGAUCAAGUAGUAAAGAAAGCUUGUUUGACUAAGUCUGUUUGCUUGAGGACAAGCAAAGGGUUAGGUGUGGG
rnacentral:lncRNA from 1 species